GAUGAACGCUAGCUACAGGCUUAACACAUGCAAGUCGAGGGGAAACGACAUCGAAAGCUUGCUUUUGAUGGGCGUCGACCGGCGCACGGGUGAGUAACGCGUAUCCAACCUGCCCACCACUUGGGGAUAACCUUGCGAAAGUAAGACUAAUACCCAAUGACGUCUCUAGAAGACAUCUGAAAGAGAUUAAAGAUUUAUCGGUGAUGGAUGGGGAUGCGUCUGAUUAGCUUGUUGGCGGGGUAACGGCCCACCAAGGCGACGAUCAGUAGGGGUUCUGAGAGGAAGGUCCCGAACAAUGGAACUGAGACACUGUCCAAACUCCUACGGGAGGCAGCAGUGAGGAAUAGUGGUCAAUGGACGAGAGUCUGAACCAGCCAAGUAGCGUGCAGGAUGACGGCCCUAUGGGUUGUAAACUGCUUUUAUAAGGGAAUAAAGUGAGUCUCGUGAGACUUUUUGCAUGUACCUUAUGAAUAAGGACCGGCUAAUUCCGUG
rnacentral:rRNA from 1 species